GAAAACGCUUAAGACUUUGGUCCUUUUCUUGAAUUGUUAUUUGUGCCAAUUUUAUAUACUUCAUUUUAUUAAAUUUGUAUUAAUGUCAAAUAUAUUCAUUGUUCUGUUAAACGGAAGUUCGAGUGUUAUCUUCCUCAAUUAGAAGUAAAAUCGACUCUGUAGUAUUGAUUUCGAUAUGAUAUGAAUGAUGAAUUAACAAAUGAGAAAGAUGAUGUCAGUCGAAAGCUCGUCGACACGCAAAGAAACUCUCAAGAAGCUGAUACUCCAACAUUAUCUCGAUCAUAUCUCUAUAUAAUAAAAUGGCAAACGCAUCUCAAGAGAUUCGUGAAAAUGCAAUCAAUGUCGUCAGGAGUGUACAUGCCCCACGUUUUACGAUUAGUUUUACUUUUAACAUAUGCCUUACAAUCUAUACAAUAAUACAAACCAUAAUUAUCAAGAAAAGGAUGUAAUUUAAUUUUCAAAGAAUUAUUUUAAUAAACACGUGGUUAAAUAUUACUUUACCAUACGAAUUGUAUCAAUGAGAAUUUCAAAUGUCUUGAACGGAAAGUUCAGGGUGGGGCGCAUACGUCCCACAUGGCAGGGAACGGGUUAAUAAAAUUAAGUUUCCUGUUACCAGCGGUUGUUAAUUUUUUCUACGCGCAGGCACUAUAUUAAACGACAUGAUAGGAAAAAAUGGUUGUUUCCAAAGAAUUACAAAUCGACAUCGGAAAAGAAGCCACAGUGGAUGAUUAUUAUUGAUGAAAUCUGAAAUACUGAAUCGUUUCGAAUCUAAAUAAAUAAAGAAAACUUUAAAUUGUAUGCGACGUUUAGGUUUUUUAUGGAUUGGAAAAUACUGCAGAUUAGGAAUCGAUUGAAGAGUUUAUUUUCUUCCUUUCCAUAUAAUUCAUACAGAGAUAAUAGUUCUUUUUGACGUCUUCGUAAAAAUCGAUCAGUUUAUAUAUAUUACUUUGAAUCGAAGAUCGUUCGAUCAGGAAGAAACGAACAUGGAAAAGAAAGAAUGAAAAAGAGAAGUCGAAAAAGAGAAAGAGAGUCAAGGUGAUGGAAAAUAUAUACAAGCCAAAAGAGAAGAUAGGAUUUUGUUCUAUACGGCCUUUGUGGAAAAAAUAAAAAGUUAAAGAAGGAGAUAGGAAUUGGAUGAGCAGACAUAACAGCCUCUCCCUUGAAAUGAAACAUUGUGAAUUUGUAGAGAUUAAAGGAUCAAACUUUGAUAGAGGUUUGUGACAAACAGCCUACAGUUGUAGUAUAUAGUUGGAGUGUAUGGUUGCAGUGUUUGGUUAAAGUGUAUGGUAGCAGUGUAUGUAGAUUUUGGUCUACCUGUACCAUAAUAUAACUAAUUAUUACUGCUCUUUAAUUUAAUAAAUGCAGUUACAUUUAAAAUUCUAAUGUUUUCAAAAGAGCAAGUUCUUCCACUUAUCUGAUAGGUUAGAGCUAGCUUUUAAAACAGGGAUUGUGUAAAAUGAUAUGUGUAAAAAAUACUGAAAGGUUCCUUUUUCAUAUGCAUCUGUUCUGCAGUGUUAUGUUAUGUUUUAACAUAGGAUUCAACCAUUAAAAUUCUCAUGGUUUUUUCUAAAUUUACAAGUACAUGCCUAGAACUUACCAUUAAAUUCUACGGAUGUAUAUUGUACAUACAAGAUGGCAAUUAUGUAUAAAUAAGAUGAGAUCUCAAAUAUAUGAGUGAUAUAAAGCACUGAAACAUAUCCUUUUUGGAAUCUUGAAAUAUAUAUUAUAUUUUUGCAUCAAAAGAGUUAAAAGAUAGAUAGGAGAAAAACAGUAGCAAAUUAAUGUAAAGAUAAUACGAAAAUAAAUCAGUGGAAGAUAAAAGAUGCAAGAGCAAAACAUUACAUAAUGAGAACAAUAUACAAAACAAUGAGGCCAAAUUCCAUUGCUUCGCAUGCAAUUGCAAUGACAUUCCGAAACCCAUUUGCAGCUUGGGUACUUGCUAAUUUACAAUACUGACAAAUUCUUCAACGGGUUGCAUCAUUGGAACGUGAACAAUCGCCGAGUAUAUUUGCCGAGUAUAAUCUUUAAUUAAUUUCUAUUUUAAAAUUCAAUUUUAUUAUGAAUAUAUUAUAUUACAAAAGUAACAAAGAAAAACAUUACGAUUAUAUGAAUUAGUUGUAAACGAUUAUCGGCUGCCGAGGUACAGCUUGGAAGAUUGGCGGCUGGUCUGAAUACCAUGAAAAGUCGUAUUGCACAGCAUCAAGAAGAAUUGCCUGUAUAUUCGCGCGGUACCGCGUCUUUGCAAUUGAAAAUGGGAAAGACCGAGGCUAAUUUGACUAUGGCUAGAGCACUUUUGUUGAAACUUGACAAGAAAAAUCGUGAUCGGUAGGCCCAGUACGAGCAAUUGACCAAACAUAGAACAAGAUUAAACAUAGAAGCUGUUAACGCCGCGUUUUUUUUUAUUUAUCAAGUGCCUAUAGCUGCUGAAACUAGUUUGGUCCACUGACAUGAGAGACGCUUAUAGGCGCCUAGAAAAUUUCAUCGAUAAUAAUUCCGGCAGAUCUUAUUUCAGUAAAAUUUAUUUUUUUGUUUUAUCCUUAAAAUGACAAAUUGGGAUAAGAAAAUGGCUAGAAAAAAUGCAUGCAAAUAUGAUAUAACAAAUGAUUCUAAUUUUUAACUUAUACUUCACGGAUUUGAUGAUGAGAAUAAUGGAAUUGUAGCAAAUGUAAAUGGUAAUUAUCUAUUCUCGAUUUUUUUCAAAUUUUCUUUUCGGAAGGACUCAGAGAAUUAUAUUUUGGGGCAAAUGAUAAUAUUUGAAGAUAUAUCAUCAAAAUCGAUAGGAAAGUCCGGACAGACAAUAAUAACAUUUCUUAAGCUAUAUCUUGGAAAAGGUCAUACAUUCAUGACCGAUAAUUGGUACAACAAUCCCAGUGUAUUCCUCGAGUUACAUAAAAAUUUAACCAACGUAUAUGAAACAAUAAGAAAAAAAAAGUUGGGUAUACCGAAAUUGAAUAAAAAGAUAAAAAAGAAUUUCGUUCAACAAAAAAAACAUUAGCGUUGAAAUGGAUGAACAAAAGGGAAGUGUGGACAAUUUUCAUUUAUCAUGAACCACCCAAUAUGAUUGAUACAAAUAAGAUACAUUACCUAACAAAAUAAAAAAUAAUCAAAUCACUAUGUAUAAUUGAUUAUAAUAACACAACGGGAGCGAUUGACAAAGUUGAUCAGAUUUUAUAUAAUCUGUAUUUUACUAGAAAAA